GACGAACCGUGCGAACGUUAUUCGGAAUUACUGGGCGUAAAGCGUGCGCAGGCGGUUCUCCAAGUCCGUUGUGAAAGCCCCGGGCUCAACCUGGGAAUGGCAGUGGAAACUGGGGGACUGGAAUCUGGCAGAGGGGGGUGGAAUGCCGCGUGUAGCAGUGAAAUGCGUAGAGAUGCGGCGGAACACCGAUGGCGAAGGCAGCCCCCUGGGCUGAGAUUGACGCUCAGGCACGAAAGCGUGGGGAGCAAACAGG
rnacentral:rRNA from 1 species